UGUCAUUUAUUCUUAAGCUAUAGUAGUGGGUAUUCGUGCAUUCUGGAUCAACCUUCGGUUGAUCCAGAAUACACGAAUACGACAUGGCUCCUCGGCAAAAA